UGUAUAAUGGGUCAGCGACUUAUAUUCUGUAGCAAGGUUAACCGAAUAGGGGAGCCGAAGGGAAACCGAGUCUUAACUGGGCGUUAAGUUGCAGGGUAUAGACCCGAAACCCGGUGAUCUAGCCAUGGGCAGGUUGAAGGUUGGGUAACACUAACUGGAGGACCGAACCGACUAAUGUUGAAAAAUUAGCGGAUGACUUGUGGCUGGGGGUGAAAGGCCAAUCAAACCGGGAGAUAGCUGGUUCUCCCCGAAAGCUAUUUAGGUAGCGCCUCGUGAAUUCAUCUCCGGGGGUAGAGCACUGUUUCGGCAAGGGGGUCAUCCCGACUUACCAACCCGAUGCAAACUGCGAAUACCGGAGAAUGUUAUCACGGGAGACACACGGCGGGUGCUAACGUCCGUCGUGAAGAGGGAAACAACCCAGACCGCCAGCUAAGGUCCCAAAGUCAUGGUUAAGUGGGAAACGAUGUGGGAAGGCCCAGACAGCCAGGAUGUUGGCUUAGAAGCAGCCAUCAUUUAAAGAAAGCGUAAUAGCUCACUGGUCGAGUCGGCCUGCGCGG
rnacentral:rRNA from 1 species